CAGUCGCCACGGGAAUACGUAGGGUGCAAGCGUUAAUCGGAAUUACUGGGCGUAAAGCGUGCGCAGGCGGUUCUAUAAGACAGAUGUGAAAUCCCCGGGCUCAACCUGGGAACUGCAUUUGUGACUGUAGAGCUGGAGUGCGGCAGAGGGGGAUGGAAUUCCGCGUGUAGCAGUGAAAUGCGUAGAUAUGCGGAGGAACGCCGAUGGCGAAGGCAAUCCCCUGGGCCUGCACUGACGCUCAUGCACGAAAGCGUGGGGAGCAAACAGGAUUAGAUACCCCCGUAGUCCCUGUCUCUUAUAC
rnacentral:rRNA from 1 species